rnacentral:rRNA from 1 species
UACGUAGGGUGCAAGCGUUUAUCCGGAAUUAUUGGGCGUAAAGAGCUCGUAGGCGGUUUGUCGCGUCUGCUGUGAAAACUGGAGGCUCAACCUCCAGCCUGCAGUGGGUACGGGCAAACUAGAGUGCGGUAGGGGAGAUUGGAAUUCCUGGUGUAGCGGUGGAAUGCGCAGAUAUCAGGAGGAACACCGAUGGCGAAGGCAGAUCUCUGGGCCGUGAACUGACGCUGAGGAGCGAAAGCGUGGGGAGCGAACAGG